AACAGGAUUAGAUACCCUGGUAGUCCACGCCGUAAACGAUGUCGACUUGGAGGCUGUUCCCUUGAGGAGUGGCUUCCGGAGCUAACGCGUUAAGUCGACCGCCUGGGGAGUACGGCCGCAAGGUUAAAACUCAAAUGAAUUGACGGGGGCCCGCACAAGCGGUGGAGCAUGUGGUUUAAUUCGAUGCAACGCGAAGAACCUUACCUACUCUUGACAUCCAGAGAAUUUAGCAGAGAUGCUUUAGUGCCUUCGGGAACUCUGAGACAGGUGCUGCAUGGCUGUCGUCAGCUCGUGUUGUGAAAUGUUGGGUUAAGUCCCGCAACGAGCGCAACCCUUAUCCUUUGUUGCCAGCGCGUAAUGGCGGGAACUCAAAGGAGACUGCCGGUGAUAAACCGGAGGAAGGUGGGGAUGACGUCAGGUCAUCAUGGCCCUUACGAGUAGGGCUACACACGUGCUACAAUGGCGCAUACAAAGAGAAGCGACCUCGCGAGAGCAAGCGGACCUCAUAAAGUGCGUCGUAGUCCGGAUUGGAGUCUGCAACUCGACUCCAUGAAGUCGGAAUCGCUAGUAAUCGUAAAUCAGAAUGUUACGGUGAAUACGUUCCCGGGCCUUGUACACACCGCCCGUCACACCAUGGGAGUGGGUUGCAAAAGAAGUAGAUAGCUUAACCUUCGGGAGGGCGUUUACCACUUUGUGAUUCAUGACUGGGGUGAAGUCGUAACAAGGUAACCGUAGGGGAACCUGCGGCUGGAUCACCUCCUU
rnacentral:rRNA from 1 species